UACGGAGGGUGCUAACGUUGUUCGGAAUCAUUGGGCGUAAAGCGCGCGUAGGCGGCCAUGCAGGUCGGGUGUGAAAGCCCGGGGCUCAACCCCGGAACUGCGCCCGAAACCGCAUGGCUAGAGUUCCUGAGGGAGAAGUGGAAUUCCAGGUGUAGGGGUGAAAUCCGUAGAUAUCUGGAGGAACACCAGUGGCGAAGGCGACUUCUUGGCAGAGAACUGACGCUGAGGUGCGAAAGCGUGGGGAGCGAAC
rnacentral:rRNA from 1 species